rnacentral:rRNA from 1 species
AUAGGGGAGCCGUAGGGAAACCGAGUCUUAACCGGGCGUUAAGUUGCAGGGUAUAGACCCGAAACCCGGUGAUCUAGCCAUGGGCAGGUUGAAGGUUGGGUAACACUAACUGGAGGACCGAACCGACUAAUGUUGAAAAAUUAGCGGAUGACCUGUGGCUGGGGGUGAAAGGCCAAUCAAACCGGGAGAUAGCUGGUUCUCCCCGAAAGCUAUUUAGGUAGCGCCUCGUGAAUUCAUCUCCGGGGGUAGAGCACUGUUUCGGCUAGGGGGCCAUCCCGGCUUACCAACCCGAUGCAAACUGCGAAUACCGGAGAAUGUUAUCACGGGAGACACACGGCGGGUGCUAACGUCCGUCGUGAAGAGGGAAACAACCCAGACCGCCAGCUAAGGUCCCAAAGUCAUGGUUAAGUGGGAAACGAUGUGGGAAGGCCCAGACAGCCAGGAUGUUGGCUUAGAAGCAGCCAUCAUUUAAAGAAAGCGUAAUAGCUCACUGGUCGAGUCGGCCUGCGCGGAAGAUGUAACGGGGCUAAACCAUGCACCGAAGCUGCGGCAGCGACGCUUAUGCGU